rnacentral:rRNA from 1 species
UACGUAGGGUGCAAGCGUUAAUCGGAAUUACUGGGCGUAAAGCGUGCGCAGGCGGUUGUGCAAGACAGAUGUGAAAUCCCCCGGGCUUAACCUGGGAAUUGCAUUUGUGACUGCACGGCUAGAGUGUGUCAGAGGGGGGGUGGAAUUCCACGUGUAGCAGUGAAAUGCGUAGAUAUGUGGAGGAACACCGAUGGCGAAGGCAGCCCCCCUGGGAUGUGACUGACGCUCAUGUACGAAAGCGUGGGGAGCAAACAGG